rnacentral:rRNA from 1 species
UACGGAGGGUGCGAGCGUUGUCCGGAAUCACUGGGCGUAAAGGGCGCGUAGGCGGCUCAUGAAGGCUGUGGUGAAAGUCCGGGGCUCAACCUCGGAUCGGCCGUGGCGACUUGUGGGCUGGAGCACUGUAGAGGCGGGUGGAAUUCCGGGUGUAGCGGUGGAAUGCGUAGAGAUCCGGAAGAACACCAGUGGCGAAGGCGGCCCGCUGGGCAGUGGCUGACGCUGAAGCGCGACAGCGUGGGGAGCAAACAGG